rnacentral:SRP_RNA from 1 species
GCCGGGCGUGGUGGCGCGCGCCUGUAGUCCCAGCUACUCGGGAGGCUGAGGUGGGAGGAUCGCUUGAGUCCAGGAGUUCUGGGCUGCAGUGCGCUAUGCCGAUCGGGUGUCCGCACUAAGUUCGGCAUCAAUAUGGUGACCUCCCGGGAGCAGGGGACCACCAGGUUGCCUAAGGAGGGGUGAACCGGCCCAGGUCGGAAACGGAGCAGGUCAAAACUCCCGUGCUGAUCAGUAGUGGGAUCGCGCCUGUGAAUAGCCACUGCACUCCAGCCUGGGCAAUAUAGUGAGACCCUGUCUCU